GCCGGUGUAAUUCGUCGCUCUCCUUCUUAAUUUUUUUUCUCUUUCUGAGUGAGGGUCCUCCCCCUGCUUUUCGCGGGGUCGCGUAGAGGUGUGGAGGUGCUAUUGGGGGGGGAGGUUUUUUUUUUAUCCGAUCAUGUCGGGUGACUAGAUUUUUGUCAUUGUCAGGACGAGGUUUCCUCCUGUUCCUAACAUGGUGUGGGGCACAUUAGGGCGUUGUAGGGCCUCUCCCCCCAUCCG
rnacentral:lncRNA from 1 species